rnacentral:rRNA from 1 species
GGCAAUCAUACAAGCACUAAUGCACCCGAUCCCAUCAGAACUCCGUAGUUAAGCGUGCUCCAGCUAGAGUUGUACUAGGACGGGUGACUUCUUGGGAAGUCCUCGUGUUGAAGCCC